UUCAUUCCACUGCCCAAAUAUGUAGUGAGUUACUACCGGCUUUGCUUCCUCCUUCAGCAAACGGCUGGACCACACAACUUCAGGAGAGAGGAUUUUAAAUGUUAGGGUCAUUUUCCCUAAAACGAUUUCAAAUGACGUCUCUUUAUCUAUAGGUAACCCAGCUUAAAACAACUGCGGUUGGCCCGGGAUCCUCACUGCCCUUUGCCAAGUACCAGAGAAAGAUAAGGCCUACUAGGAACCAGAGAAAACCAGAACCAGCCACCCCUUGUUACUUUUAGAUCAUUAAUACAUCAUUAUAUGCUCAACUCCCGACCCGUAGAAGAGAAUCGCCGCCAUUUUCUGAUAGUGCAUUGUAUGAAGAGGCAUGUUUAUGAAAUGCACCUGUGCGUCUAGAGUUCCUCCCGGCAUAUGCUUGCAUACCUCCCCACUCCACAUCUAACGCCUUACAAUUCC
rnacentral:lncRNA from 10 species